rnacentral:misc_RNA from 1 species
GAUGAGAACGUAGCGAAAUGCGAUAAGUAGUGUGAAUUGCAGAAUUCAGUGAAUCAUCGAAUCUUUGAACGCACAUUGCGCCCCUUGGUAUCCCGAGGGGCAUGCGUGUUCGAGCGUCAUUUCACCACUCAAGCCUGGCUUGGUGUUGGGCGACGUCCCCUUUGGGGACGCGCCUCGAAACGCUCGGCGGCGUGGCACCGGCUUUAAGCGUAGCAGAAUCUUUCGCUUUGGAAGUCGGGGCCCCGUCUGCCGGAAGACCUACUCGCAAGGUUGACCUCGGAUCAGGCAGGGAUACCCGCUGAACUUAAGCAUAUCAAUAAGCGGAGGA